UGCAAGUCGAACGAUGAUCCGGUGCUUGCACCGGGGAUUAGUGGCGAACGGGUGAGUAACACGUGAGUAACCUGCCCUUAACUCUGGGAUAAGCCUGGGAAACUGGGUCUAAUACCGGAUAUGACUGAUCAUCGCAUGGUGGUUGGUGGAAAGCUUUUUUGUGGUUUUGGAUGGACUCGCGGCCUAUCAGCUUGUUGGUGAGGUAAUGGCUUACCAAGGCGACGACGGGUAGCCGGCCUGAGAGGGUGACCGGCCACACUGGGACUGAGACACGGCCCAGACUCCUACGGGAGGCAGCAGUGGGGAAUAUUGCACAAUGGGCGCAAGCCUGAUGCAGCGACGCCGCGUGAGGGAUGACGGCCUUCGGGUUGUAAACCUCUUUCAGUAGGGAAGAAGCGAAAGUGACGGUACCUGCAGAAGAAGCGCCGGCUAACUACGUGCCAGCAGCCGCGGUAAUACGUAGGGCGCAAGCGUUAUCCGGAAUUAUUGGGCGUAAAGAGCUCGUAGGCGGUUUGUCGCGUCUGCCGUGAAAGUCCGGGGCUCAACUCCGGAUCUGCGGUGGGUACGGGCAGACUAGAGUGAUGUAGGGGAGACUGGAAUUCCUGGUGUAGCGGUGAAAUGCGCAAAUAUCAGGAGGAACACCGAUGGCGAAGGCAGGUCUCUGGGCAUUAACUGACGCUGAGGACCGAAAGCAUGGGGAGCGAACAGGAUUAGAUACCCUGGUAGUCCAUGCCGUAAACGUUGGGCACUAGGUGUGGGGACAUUCCACGUUUCCGCGCCGUAGCUAACGCAUUAAGUGCCCCGCCUGGGGAGUACGGCCGCAAGGCUAAACUCAAGGAUUGACGGGGCCCGCACAACGCGGACAUGCGAUUAAUUC
rnacentral:rRNA from 1 species